rnacentral:rRNA from 1 species
UACGUAGGUGGCAAGCGUUGUCCGGAUUUACUGGGCGUAAAGAGCGCGCAGGCGGUCUUGCAAGUCGCGUGUGAAAGCCCCCGGCUCAACUGGGGAGGGUCACGCGAUACUGCUCGACUCGAAGGCAGGAGAGGGAAGUGGAAUUCUCGGUGUAGUGGUGAAAUGCGUAGAUAUCGGGAGGAACACCAGUGGCGAAGGCGACUUCCUGGCCUGUUCUUGACGCUGAGGCGCGAAAGCUAGGGUAGCAAACGGG